GAUGAACGCUGGCGGCGUGCCUAAUACAUGCAAGUCGAGCGAACAGACGAGGAGCUUGCUCCUCUGAUGUUAGCGGCGGACGGGUGAGUAACACGUGGAUAACCUACCUAUAAGACUGGGAUAACUUCGGGAAACCGGAGCUAAUACCGGAUAACAUGUUGAACCGCAUGGUUCAACAGUGAAAGACGGUCUUGCUGUCACUUAUAGAUGGAUCCGCGCCGCAUUAGCUAGUUGGUAAGGUAACGGCUUACCAAGGCAACGAUGCGUAGCCGACCUGAGAGGGUGAUCGGCCACACUGGAACUGAGACACGGUCCAGACUCCUACGGGAGGCAGCAGUAGGGAAUCUUCCGCAAUGGGCGAAAGCCUGACGGAGCAACGCAGCGUGAGUGAAGAAGGUCUUCGGAUCGUAAAACUCUGUUAUUAGGGAAGAACAAAUGUGUAAGUAACUAUGCACGUCUUGACGGUACCUAAUCAGAAAGCCACGGCUAACUACGUG
rnacentral:rRNA from 1 species